CUACGGGGUGCUCCAGUGGGGAAUAUUGGACAAUGGGGGAAACCCUGAUCCAGCAAUGCCGCGUGUGUGAAGAAGGCCUGCGGGUUGUAAAGCACUUUCGGUUGGGAGGACUGCUUCUAGCACUAAUAUUGUUGGAAGUUGACGUUACCUUCAGAAGAAGCACCGGCUAACUCCGUGCCAGCAGCCGCGGUGAAUACGGAGGGUGCAAGCGUUAAUCGGAAUUACUGGGCGUAAAGCGCGCGUAGGCGGCUAGAUCAGUCGGGUGUGAAAGCCCCGGGCUUAACCUGGGAACUGCAUCCGACACUGUCUAGCUUGAGUACAGGAGAGGAGAGUGGAAUUCCACAUGUAGCGGUGAAAUGCGUAGAUAUGUGGAGGAACACCGAUGGCGAAGGCAGCUCUCUGGCCUGAUACUGACGCUGAGGUGCGAAAGCGUGGGGAGCAAACAGGAUUAGAUACCCGCGUAGUC
rnacentral:rRNA from 1 species